GAGUUUGAUCUUGGCUCAGAUUGAACGCUGGCGGCAGGCCUAACACAUGCAAGUCGAGCGGAUGACGGGAGCUUGCUCCUUGAUUCAGCGGCGGACGGGUGAGUAAUGCCUAGGAAUCUGCCUGGUAGUGGGGGACAACGUUUCGAAAGGAACGCUAAUACCGCAUACGUCCUACGGGAGAAAGCAGGGGACCUUCGGGCCUUGCGCUAUCAGAUGAGCCUAGGUCGGAUUAGCUAGUUGGUGGGGUAAUGGCUCACCAAGGCGACGAUCCGUAACUGGUCUGAGAGGAUGAUCAGUCACACUGGAACUGAGACACGGUCCAGACUCCUACGGGAGGCAGCAGUGGGGAAUAUUGGACAAUGGGCGAAAGCCUGAUCCAGCCAUGCCGCGUGUGUGAAGAAGGUCUUCGGAUUGUAAAGCACUUUAAGUUGGGAGGAAGGGCAGUAAGUUAAUACUUGCUGUUUGACGUUACGACAGAAUAAGCACCGGCUAACUCUGUGCCAGCCGCCG
rnacentral:rRNA from 1 species